GUGCCGCGUGGAUCUCUCCUCAAAAGCUGAGCGUCCGAGGAAAGAGCGUCAGCAUCUGUGAGGGAGUCUUUGUGAAUCAGAUUCCACGGAAUACAAAACUUCCAAGAAUUCCAAAAAACAAAACGCUCGGAGAAGAAAGAACAAUGUCAAGUGCAAUCGUGAGACGAAGCUCCAGUAAGCAAGGCUUGCAGAACCUCCUGAGAGUGACGGCCCAGCGAAGUAUCGAAGAUGCUGAGGAGAUCGAGAGAGAAAGGCGACGUCGGGCCCGGGAGGCUUUCCGCAACCAGCAAAGCCUAUCUGGAUCUGCUGGUUCCCCUCAGCACAGUGUGAACCCACCUGAGACCGGCCUCUAUGAAAGUGAACUCAAACCCAGCUGCCCUAUUGCUGUGGAUGAGGAUGAAGGUUUCAGCGACUGGACCCAGAAGCUGGAACGGAGAACACGGUCCAGAAUGGAUGAGAACGGCAGUGGAGAACAGCCACAACAGGAGGAGAAAGACGUGAAUGCAAGAUCUAGACAAAGUGAGAAAAGCAGCUUCACCACUUCCAUACAGUAUCAGCAAAUGCAGGACCGAGAAGAAGAGGAGAAAAGACCAGAGGGGAGGAGGAGCGCUGAGAGACGAACAGAGAUCAGUGAGAGGGUUAGCAGUCAGAGACCAGAGGAAUGGCGUGAUGACAUGAGAGACAGCAAAAGCAGACAACAGGAAAUAAAACCACCGAUGGAGAACAAGAUAAAAGAGGAGAAGGAGGUGGUGAAGGUGUCAUACACGUCUAAAGUCUUCCUACAGCAAGACAGAACACCUAAUGGCAAUGGAGAGGCAGCUGCAGAGGAAACGACAUCACAUCUGGUCAAAACCAAAAGAUCACCCAGCAGGACUGUAGAUGUAAAUCAGGCCUUUGAGACUAAGAAGGACAUGCACGCUGGUCUGGAGACCGAGCUGAAGCUGGAGAAGAUCAGACAUAGCCACCAGGUGAAGGAGCAGCUACAGCAGCGUCAGGCCGAGGCUGAGCUGGAGCUGGAGGAACUGAAGAAGAAGAGAGAGGAACGACGCAAGGCUCGCGAAGAGGAGGAGCUGAGGAGAGAUGAAAAGGAACAGAAGAAACUAGUCAAAAAAGAGGUGGCUUGGCUGAUUUCUAUUCUUCUAUUCUUCUGUUUUGGUGGGAAUGUUAAAUUGGUUUCUUCCAGCAGUAGAACAUUAUUUAAGGUUUGCAUAAAACAUAGUCAAUUUAAUAACAACUACAGGAGGACAAGAGGCAGAUGA
ensembl:lncRNA